rnacentral:rRNA from 1 species
UGCCGGAUCUAAGAUAUAGUCGGUCCCUGGGAGAAUUCUAGGGGUUUCAGCGUCCGUAGGUGAACCUGCGGAAGGAUCAUUAAUUAACCGGACCGGUCCUUUGCCGUAAAACGCAACGGAUCGGAAAGGGAGAAUCAUACACCCUGUGUUUAUUUACCUUUGUUGCUUUGGCGGGCCGUCCUUUAGGCGUCGGCCCCGGCUGAUCGCGCCCGCCAGAGGACCCAAAUUCUUUAUCAGUGACGUCUGAGUACUAUAUAAUAGUUAAAACUUUCAACAACGGUCUCUUGGUUCUGGCAUCGAUGAAGAACGCAGCGAAAUGCGAUAAGUAAGUGAAUUGCAGAAUUCAGUGAAUCAUCGAAUCUUUGAACGCACAUUGCGCCGCUGGUAUUCCGGCGGGCAUGCCUGUUCGAGCGUCAUUAUGACCAAUAAGCUCUGCUUGGUCUUGGGGCCCGCUGUACCGGCGGCUCUUAAAAUCAUGGCGGUGCCGUCUGGCUCUAAGCGUAGUAAUACUUCUCGCUAUAGGGUUAGUCGUCCACCCGCCAGAACCCCCAACUUUCUUAGGUUGACCUCGGUUAGGUAGGGAUACCCGCUGAACUUAAGCAUAUCAAUAAAGCGGGAAGGGA